GGUCUCUUAGCUCAGUCGGUAGAGCAGGGGAUUGAAAAUCCCCGUGUCGCU
rnacentral:tRNA from 1 species